GCAGUAAUCCGCGGGAGCCUGAAUUGACCAGGCUGAGAGGGCACCGAGCCGACCGCUACACCUGAUGCGGGUCAUGCCGCCGUAGGAAGGAAGCGUGCCCUUGUG
rnacentral:ncRNA from 2 species